rnacentral:rRNA from 1 species
UACGUAGGGUGCGAGCGUUAAUCGGAAUUACUGGGCGUAAAGCGUGCGCAGGCGGUUAUGCAAGACAGAUGUGAAAUCCCCGGGCUCAACCUGAGAACUGCAUUUGUGACUGCAUAACUAGAGUACGGUAGAGGGGGAUGUAAUUCCGCGUGUAGCAGUGAAAUGCGUAGAUAUGCGGAGGAACACCGAUGGCGAAGGCAAUCCCCUGGACCUGUACUGACGCUCAUGCACGAAAGCGUGGGGAGCAAACAGG